rnacentral:hammerhead_ribozyme from 1 species
AUUUAGCUGAUGAGUUGCAAAUAAGACGAAACACCUAUUCUGAAU